CCCCUUGAGUACUGUGAAGACGUUACCAUGGGAACUCCACUCCGCUGUACAGUAGAAGCCAUUUUGCGGCAGUAUGGUAGAAGCCAUAUAAAGGCACAACAGGCUGCAUCUUAACAACAGACACCCCGAGGGGUGUUAGCAAUGUCGUACCUCCACAGUCUUUGUCUCCAGAAGCUCGGAAUGUUUUACACAUAUCCUAAAAGGGAGACCCCACUUGUGACCCAUCCUCCACCCCGAAGCACCGGAAGGCAGAAUAAGAAGCCACGGAUGGAAACGAAACAACCUAGAACUAAGGAGAAAUGUC